UCAUUAAGCGGAGGAAAAGAAACUAACAAGGAUUCCCCUAGUAACGGCGAGUGAAGCGGGAACAGCCCAGCACCGAAUCGCCUGGCGUACAGCUAGCGUGAACUGUGGUGUUUAGGACAGCCCCUGCCGGCUCGCGCGGACGCCCAAGUCCUCCUGAUCGGGGCCUUUCCCAUAGUGGGUGUUAGGCCUGUACUGGCGACCGUCGAGCCUGCUGGAGCGUCCUGGGAGUCGGGUUGCUUGUGAGUGCAGCCCAAAGUGGGUGGUAAACUCCAUCUAAGGCUAAAUACAACAC
rnacentral:rRNA from 1 species